UAACCAAUCAAUUUAAAGUACAUUUAUUGGUACAAAAUUAAAUACUAUAUAAACAACAUAACCAAGUAAUAGAUUGUAUCGUGAUCUGUGACCAGUGUGAUAUUUGUAAUUAAUUUUAUAUUGAUAUUAAAUUUUAAAAGAACACAUUUAUCGCAUACAAAGGAUUAGUGGAUAUUUUUUUACGUAAAUAAAAUACAUAAAAUUUUACGUAAAAUUACUACAAAAAUGAAUUAUAAUAUUCAUAUAUUAAUAUGUCUUACUGGUAUUACUGCUAUUCAUGUUGGUUGGAAUAUGGUACAGGAAUAUAGACCAGAAAAAGAUCGACGUAAACAUCCUUUUAUAGAAUUAUACAAUAAUUUUAUAAAUUCAAAUGACAAUAAAUAAAACAUUAUUUAGGCAGGUGAUCAAAA